rnacentral:rRNA from 1 species
UGCCAGCAGCCGCGGUAAUACGGAGGGUGCAAGCGUUGUUCGGAAUUAUUGGGCGUAAAGCGGGUGUAGGCGGCUUUGCAAGUCAGAUGUGAAAUCCCUGGGCCCAACCCAGGAACUGCAUUUGAUACUGCAUCGCUAGAGUCCCGGAGAGGAUGGCGGAAUUCCAGGUGUAGAGGUGAAAUUCGUAGAUAUCUGGAGGAACACCAGUGGCGAAGGCGGCCAUCUGGACGGUGACUGACGCUCAGACCUGAAAGCGUGGGGAGCAAACAGGAUUAGAUA